CAGCCGCCGCGGUAAUACGUAGGGUGCAAGCGUUAAUCGGAAUUACUGGGCGUAAAGCGUGCGCAGGCGGUUAUAUAAGUCAGAUGUGAAAUCCCCGGGCUCAACCUGGGAACUGCAUUUGAGACUGUAUGGCUAGAGUGUGUCAGAGGGGGGUAGAAUUCCACGUGUAGCAGUGAAAUGCGUAGAUAUGUGGAGGAAUACCGAUGGCGAAGGCAGCCCCCUGGGAUAACACUGACGCUCAUGCACGAAAGCGUGGGGAGCAAACAGGAUUAGAUACCCCGGUAGUCCCUGUCUCUUAUAC
rnacentral:rRNA from 1 species